rnacentral:rRNA from 1 species
UACGAAGGGGGCUAGCGUUGUUCGGAAUCACUGGGCGUAAAAGGGCGCGUAGGCGGCUUUAUAAGUCGGGGGUGAAAGCCUGUGGCUCAACCACAGAAUUGCCUUCGAUACUGUAGUGGCUUGAGACCGGAAGAGGUAAGUGGAACUGCGAGUGUAGAGGUGAAAUUCGUAGAUAUUCGCAAGAACACCAGUGGCGAAGGCGGCUUACUGGUCCCGGGUUCUGACGCUGAGGCGCGAAAAGCGUGGGGAGCAAACAGG